rnacentral:rRNA from 1 species
GUCUACAACCAUGCCACCCUGAACAAGCCUGAUCCCGUCUGAUCUCGGAAGCUAAGCAGGGUCGGGCCUGGUUAGUACUUGGAUGGGAAACCACCUAGGAAGACCAGGUGGUGUAGGUG